rnacentral:rRNA from 1 species
UGCGUAGGCGGAUUAAUAAGUCAGUGGUGAAAUCCCUCAGCUUAACUGAGGAACUGCCAUUGAUACUGUUAGUCUUGAGUAUAGUUGAGGUGGGCGGAAUGUGUCAUGUAGCGGUGAAAUGCAUAGAUAUGACACAGAACACCGAUUGCGUAGGCAGCUCACUAAACUAUCUCUGACGCUGAUGCACGAAAGCGUGGGUAGCGAACAGGAUUAGAUACCCUGGUAGUCC